AAAAAAACCUCAUAAGUUAGACGAUAAGAGGUACCCUGCUUUACAGUAAUUAAUUAUUAUUUAUUAAUAAUUUCUAGUUGAAUCGUAGGGUGGCACAGAAUCGGAGGCCCCGACUGUUUACUAAAAACACAACACAGUGCAAUCAUUAAUAUGGUAGUAUACUGUGUGAAAUUUGCCCAAUGCCAUUAAUAUAAAAGCGGUCAUAGGAAACUGUGACUAAUUGAAAAUCUGGUUAAUAGCGGUCUUAACCAUGAGGAUCCUAAGGUAGCAAAAUAAAUUGGCCAUUAAAUGUGGUCCGGUAUCAAUAAUGUAACGAUGGCCUCACUGUCUCUACAACUUGCUCAGUGAAAUUGAAUUACGCGUGCAGAUGCGCGUUACCUCCAGAGGGACGGGAAGACCCUAUGCAGCUUCU
rnacentral:rRNA from 1 species